AGAGAUAGAGGCGCGUUUUUCAUCAGUACCGCAGAGUAGGACACGGCAGUCCAUAUACUGACAGGAAAGGGGAAAACGCCGAAGCGGACUUCCUGCCGUAGGAAAUUUGCUGGGCACAGCGUGAACAGUGCUGUGACUGUCAUCAUAUGAUAAUGAUGGGGAGCUAUCUG
rnacentral:ncRNA from 1 species